rnacentral:rRNA from 1 species
UACGAAGGGGGCUAGCGUUGUUCGGAGUUACUGGGCGUAAAGGGCGCGUAGGCGGCCCUGUAAGUCAGGCGUGAAAGCCCUGGGCUCAACCCGGGAAAUGCGCUUGGGACUGCAGGGCUCGAGUCCGGGAGAGGAUGGUGGAAUUCCCAGUGUAGAGGUGAAAUUCGUAGAUAUUGGGAAGAACACCGGUGGCGAAGGCGGCCAUCUGGACCGGUACUGACGCUGAGGCGCGAAAGCGUGGGGAGCAAACAGG